GAUGAACGCUGGCGGCGUGCCUAAUACAUGCAAGUCGAGCGAAGCGGGGACUUGUGAGUAACACGUUGAUAACUUCCUAUAUGACUGGGAUAACUUCGGGAAACUGGAGAUCAACCGGAAACUUAUCGAUGGUUCCUCGCGGCAUUAGCUAGUAGGUAAGGUAACGGCUUACCACGGCAAUGGUGCAUAGCCGACCGGAGAGGGUGAUCGGCCACACUGGAACUGAGACACGGUCCAGACUCCUACGGGAGGCAGCAGUGGGGAAUCUUGCACAAUGGGCGAAAGCCUGACGGGGCAACGCCGCGUGAGUGAUGAAGGUCUUCGGAUCGUAAAACUCUGUUAUUAGGGAGGCGGUACCUAAUCAGAAAGCCACGGCUAACUACGUGCCAGCAGCCGCGGUAAUUC
rnacentral:rRNA from 1 species